CUUAAAAGACCAGAGAACUGAAGGAAGGGAGACCAUGCCCCAGCAGGGCACGGAGACUCCCUCCCCCAGUGUCAAGGACUGAGGGUAGCCCUACCCAAGAGGGAAGAUGGGGACUGGACUAGAUGACAUCUCGACCUCCCUUCCAGUCAUAUGAUUCUAUGAUCAGAGUGCCCACAGUGACCUCAGUUUUUUCCAUAAUACUUCAGUAUCUGGUUGGGAAAGAAGGUGGGCAGAAGAACACCUUGUUUGCCAGCAUCCCUUCCUCUUAUCCUGAAUGUUUGAGAAACACACAUAUUAGCGAACUACUGUAGCAGUCUAUCACAUCAAGGAAAAAAUCCUGUGUUGUCAUGACGAGGAGGAAAUUAAGACAAAUUUGUGAGUGCACCAGUAAACUAAUUCAAUAUGUUCUGAACAACACUUCACUAUUUGCUUUAAUGUGCUUUAUGCUCAGACAAACACCAAGAAUCUGGCUAUCAGAUUAAAAAGACACCAACAAAAUUUCAGACCACCCAA